GAAGUUUGACAGACAAUCGCCGGCAGCUGCAAGCUGCGGGAGGAAAGUCCGGGCUCCACAGGGCAGGAUGCUGGAUAACGUCCAGUCGGCGCGAGCCGAAGGAUAGUGCCACAGAAAUGGACCGCCGAUGGCCGCGCUAACAUGUGCGGCACAGGCAAGGAUGGAACCGAGGUGUAAGAGACCCCGAGGAACGCUGGUGACUUCGUUCCUGGUAAACCCCAUCUGGAGCAAGACCUAAUGGGACGCAGCUUGCCGCGAGGGAAGCAGCCUUUGCCCGAGGCGCGUCUGGGUUGGUCGCUGGAGCCGUUUAGCAAUAAACGGCCUAGAUAGAUGAUUGUCACUUCAUGUGGGAGGGUAGUUCCCGUUAUCACCACAAUGAGUACAGAACCCGGCUUAUGGAAAACUUCCGUC
rnacentral:RNase_P_RNA from 1 species